rnacentral:lncRNA from 1 species
GCGGGGUGCGGCCUGUGCUCAGCGUGCGAGCCGGGCGCCCGGACGGUGCGGGCCUCGCUCCUGGAGGGGGCGGGUUCCGAAAGACAAUGCGGACCGGGAGAGGAGGGGAAGGGGGUGGCAACCCAGUCCGGAAUCUGAGCCGGGGAAGGCGGAAGGAAAGCCCACUUGGGGGGCGGGGAUGGGGAGAGGCCCAGAAAAAGUGUUAGCCAAGAAGUCCUGAAGAUGGGGUCCAGGAGGGGAGGACUAUGGGACACAAGGACGGGGUGCUCAGUGGUUAAGUCCCCGAUGAAGUCGGCCGCACUGGGGCGGGAAAAGACACGACUGGUCCAAAAGAAGGCUUACCUCUCUUGCUCUGAGAGAACCAGGGGAAGCAGAGAGGCUGGGCCAUCUACAGGGAGGAUAACCAAUGAGAAGUGGACUGGGACGUCCAACGGGCAAGAGGAAGCAAAGAAAAAAGAAAUCAGAAAGAAUGAGUCAGUGGGGACUG